AUGCAGUCGAGCGGGGAAGAGUAGCUUGCUACUUGACCUAGCGGCGGACGGGUGAGUAAUGCUUAGGAAUCUGCCUAUUAGUGGGGGACAACAUCUCGAAAGGGAUGCUAAUACCGCAUACGUCCUACGGGAGAAAGCAGGGGACCUUCGGGCCUUGCGCUAAUAGAUGAGCCUAAGUCGGAUUAGCUAGUUGGUGGGGUAAAGGCCUACCAAGGCGACGAUCUGUAGCGGGUCUGAGAGGAUGAUCCGCCACACUGGGACUGAGACACGGCCCAGACUCCUACGGGAGGCAGCAGUGGGGAAUAUUGGACAAUGGGGGGAACCCUGAUCCAGCCAUGCCGCGUGUGUGAAGAAGGCCUUUUGGGUUGUAAAGCACUUUAAGCGAAGGAGGAGGCUACCGAGAUUAAUACUCUUGGAUAGUGGACGUUACUCGCAGAAUAAGCACCGGCUAACUCUGUGCCAGCAGCCGCGGUAAUACAGAGGGUGCAAGCGUUAAUCGGAUUUACUGGGCGUAAAGCGCGCGUAGGUGGCCAAUUAAGUCAAAUGUGAAAUCCCCGAGCUUAACUUGGGAAUUGCAUUCGAUACUGGUUGGCUAGAGUAUGGGAGAGGAUGGUAGAAUUCCAGGUGUAGCGGUGAAAUGCGUAGAGAUCUGGAGGAAUACCGAUGGCGAAGGCAGCCAUCUGGCCUAAUACUGACACUGAGGUGCGAAAGCAUGGGGAGCAAACAGGAUUAGAUACCCUGGUAGUCCAUGCCGUAAACGAUGUCUACUAGCCGUUGGGGCCUUUGAGGCUUUAGUGGCGCAGCUAACGCGAUAAGUAGACCGCCUGGGGAGUACGGUCGCAAGACUAAAACUCAAAUGAAUUGACGGGGGCCCGCACAAGCGGUGGAGCAUGUGGUUUAAUUCGAUGCAACGCGAAGAACCUUACCUGGUCUUGACAUAGUAAGAACUUUCCAGGAGAUGGAUUGGUGCCUUCGGGAACUUACAUACAGGUGCUGCAUGGCUGUCGUCAGCUCGUGUCGUGA
rnacentral:rRNA from 1 species